GAAAUCAACUCAUGUUUAGAUUCUCAUGCUUUGAAUUAUUCUCACUAUGUAUUUCAUUGCUUGGUUUGCUAAUUAUUCUCAAAUAAUCUCUUUUUCUGGUUGUAUUCAUACUGCUUUUGCCCUAGGAUACGAGACAGGGGUACAUAAUGUCAAUGCAGCAGCAAAAUGUGUAGUAUAUUUCUGAUUGUUGAGAUUAUUAUAAUUAUUAUGUGUUAGGCAGCAGUAAAAUAAACAGUAGCAAAGUUAGGCAGUAAAGUUAACAGCAGCAAAGUUAGGCAGCAGAAAUGUUAGGUAGCAGAAAUGUUAGGCAGCAGUAAAUAGUGCAGAAUUUCAGGAAACUUGUCUAUUUUCUCAUGUAUAUAUAGAUGUAUCAGCUAGCUAAUGAAGAUAUAACACAGAUUUGUUAUUUCAGAACUCAGAAACAUCUGUUUUCCAUCAUUUUUCAGUUCUGGUCAGUAAAUACUAGCCUCUAAUUUUCUGUGUUAAACCUCUAUUUUGUCACAUAAAAGCACUAUAUAUAGAAAUUUGGUCCCCCUGGUGUGCUUGUCAAAUUUGUUCCAAGAUGAAAUAUUGUCUUCUCCAAACCAACUACAGUGUCCAUGCUCAUUGAAAAGUGAAAACUCUGAAGGUCUUAGUAUCUGUAGAAAUGUAGAAAUGAUAUAUUGCUGUCUGGCCAUUUUCUCUUUCCAAGAAUAUGCUGAUUGCAUCAUCAUUUACUUAUAGUUUGAAUCUCCAGCAGGAAGUGAGUCAAAAGAAGUUGUGGAUAUUUUUGUUAAUUUGAAGCUCUUAAAUCUCAUGGAGAUUUGAAGCUCUUGAAUAAGACUCUUAUAGCACUUCAGACUUCAGAAUGUAUAGAGGGGCAAUGAUGAUGAAGCUUUGGAGCUAUACUGUAUCCGUAAAUAAUAAGUAUACAGUCGUUGUACUUCAAAUGAACUGCUAGGUUUGUUUACAAUUAGAAGAGUAUUUAUAGAAUAGGUAAUUAAUGCAAAUCUUGCGGAUACCAAAGAGUCCCAAUAAAUGUAAACAAUAAAUCCUAAUCAAUAGGAUAACCAAAUGGUUGAAGAUCACAAAGGUAUGUGUCUGUUGAUUUGUAUUUAAUAUUAAAGAUUACAUUGAAGAACGAAACUGACAAAUUCCCAAAAAAAAAGUUAUUAUA